CCAAGGCUCCCAACCUUCUUCACUGGCCUACCUGUUUAUCUUACAUCUUCAAUUUUUAAUGUACACACUUAUAACUGUAAACUUCUCUCUUAGAAUUGCUUUUAUUGUAUCCCAUGGGUUUGGGUAUAUUGAGUUUUCAUUAUCAGUUUUCUUCUAGGAAUUUUUAAUUUCCUUCUUGAUUUCUUUAAUGACCAAUUCAUUGUUCAAUAGUACUGGCCUCCCAGACAGCAGUCUGGGGUCGAUGUGCUCCCCCUUGUACAAGCCAGCUGAUUCUGUGGGUUUCCUGGUACCAACCCCUUUGAUCUUCAUUCCUCCCUCUCUGCAACUAGGUUGAUGUCAAUUUUUGAUGUUUAUUUUGUCUCCUUACCUGUUGGUAAGGUUGGGAUAUUGAAGCCACCCUUACACCCCUUGUGUAUAUGUUUAAAAUUAUUAUAUCCUUCUAAUGUAUUGAUAGUUCAACAAAUCAAUAUGAAACAAUCAUUUUUAUUUCUUCUGACGAAUUAUUGUUCAAAGCACAAUUUGCUAUAUAUUAGUAAACCCACAUUUACUUGUAUUCUAGUUCCACCUGCUUAUAAAACAAUUUUUCAUUCUUUCACCCUAAUUUGGUGUCUUUCCAAGCAAAGCUUAUCUCUUGAGUGCAAGAAAUAGUUGGGUCCUGUUUCUAAUACAAUCGGAUACACUGUGCCUCUUUGCCUGGAGAACUGAAGCAUUUGACAAAGUCCAACAUCUUACCAUGAAAACCUUGAUGAAACCAGGAAUAGAAAAGAACAUUCCUCAAGUAGUGAAGGAUAUUCAACACAGCAAUCUAUACCGAGCUCUAUGCUUAAUGGAGGCAAAACUGAAGCAUUUCCUUGAAAUAAGGGUCAAGAAAAAAGUAUCCACUGUCCCCACUGCUUUCCAACACUGCUCAAAGUCUUAGCUAGAACAAUAAGAUAAGAGAAAGAAAUAAAAUGAUACAAUGAGAAGGGGAAGUCAACUUUUUUUUCUAUUUGCAGAUAACGUAAUCAUAUACUUAAAAGGCCCUCAGGAUCUCAUGAGAAAAGUUCCUAAUUAAUAUAUGGGAGGAUGUAUGAUCAUCUGUAAGAAUUAGUAGCUUUUCUAUGUAACAAUAAAAACAUGUUGAGAAAAUAAAUGAAAACUACCCCAUUGUUUAUCACUUUGAAGCAAACCUUGAAAUAAGCAUUUCUAGGGAACUGAAAAACAUCUGUAAUGAAGAAAAAAAUUAAAACUGAAGAAAGAAAUUGAAAAACAACACUACAGAUAGAAAGAUGCUCGUGUUCAUGAGCUACCAGAAUUAAUACUGUAGAAAAUUUCUAUAUACAGAAUCAAUCUACAAAUUCAGCACAAGCCCUAUUAGGAUUCUAAUGACAUUCUUCACAGAAAGUGAGAAUAAGUCCUGAAAUUCAUAGAGAAGCAGGAGAGGCCCUGGUCACAAAAGAAGGCUGAAGCAAUUCUGAGGACUGAGAAGAAUGCUGGCCAUGUCAGUGCACCUGAUUUCAAUACUUUUUGCUGUGUCACCUGGCACAACACUGGCACGGAACCAAACACUGACAGAAUGAUCAUAAAAUGGAAGGCACAGAUACAAACACACAAGCACGGAUAUAGAGUAGAAGAGCCAGCUGCAGAUACCAGCUUUUGACAGAGAAGCCAAAAAAAAAGGGGGACAGGGGUUGAGAAAAAGCACCAUUGUCAACAAUUUUUCUGGAAAUUCACCUGUGGAAGAAUUAAACUAAUUCCUUAUUUCUCGAUUCAAAAUAAAACAAAAACCUUUAAUGUAAGACCAGAAACCCUGACGUGGCUAGGGCGACAUGUAGGAACCAUGCUUCAGGAUGUAGGGAGGCAUAAACCAGGGCGUACGAGGUCCCUGACGAGGACACUGUUAGCUUACAAAAUAAAGUCAAGGAUUGGCAAAUGGGAUUGUGUGAAGGGAAAACGCCUCUGCACAGCGAAGGAUCAGACAGCUUAAGCAAUGUUAGCUGUGUGUCUGUCUGACUAACAGCUAGAACACGUGCAGAUCUUAAAAGACUAAAAGGGUAAGAAUCCAAGCGAUCUGAUCAAUAAAUGGGCUAGGGAAAUGAACAGGCAGCUCUUAAAAGAAGAGGAAAAGCAGUCAAUGGGCAGAUGAAAAGAUGUUGAAAUUCCUUCAGGGAUAUUAAAAUGAUGACAGUCUACCUCACUCCAGUCCUAAUGGCCUUGAAUAAGGAAGCUAAUGCUGGCAAGGAGAGGAGGGAAAAAGAAUUCCUUGUACCUUGCUGAUUGGGAUGUAGACUGUUUCCGUCACAGUGGAAGACUUCGUGGAGGUUUUUUUUUUGUUUUUUGUUUUGUUUUAAAGUGAAAACAGAGUCCACCGUAUGAGUCAGCUAUAUCACCCCUGAUACAUUCCUAAUGGGCUGGAGAUGAACAUACCACAGAUGUACAUACCUAGAUGUACAUACCACAGAGGCACUUGCAACCUGGUUUACUGCAGUCCUAUUGGCAAUAGCCAAGUUGUGGAAUUAGUCUAGGGAUCUGUCAACACAUGAAUGGAUAAAGACCAUAUAGAAUAUAUACAGGAUGGAUUUUUCCAUGUUUUUCUUUUAUUGAAAAGCAAAGAUUGUUUCCUCAUACAAUGUAUCCUUAUGAUAGUCUCUGCUCCCUCUACUCUUCCCAAGUCCCUCCCCACCUCCCCUCCAGAUUCUCUCCCUCUCAUUAGGAAAGAACAGGCUCCUAAGAGAUAUCAACCAAACAGGAUAAACUAAAAUAUAAUAAGAUGAAACCAAAGCUAUCAUAUCAAAGUUGGACACGGCAACCCAACAGGAGGAAAAGAGCCCCAAGAGUAGGCACAAGUGUCAGAGAACCAAUUGCUCCCACAGUCAAGUGUCCCACAAAAAUACCAUGCUAGUAACUAUAAUAUAUAAAAAGAGGACCUGGUCUCCUGAGCGAGUGCCAGGAUAGGCUCCAAAGUUACACAGAGAAACCCUGUCUCAAAAAACCAAAAAAUAAAAAAAUAAAGAGGACCUGGUGCAGGUUCUUGUGGACCCCAUGCUUUCGUUGUCUUUCGUCUCUGUGAGUUCUUAUGUGCCUGACUUAGUUGACUCAGGGGACCUUGUUCUCCUGGUGUCCUCUGGGCUCUUACAAUCUUUCAGUCUCCCCUUCAUUGAGAUUCUCCGAGCUCCGAUGGGAAGGAUUUGAUGGAGACCUCCCAUUUAGAGUCUCUCUCCAUGUAGUGUCUGGCUGUGGGUCUCGGCAUGUGUUCAUAUCUGCUGCCAAAGGAAGCCUGUCUGACGACGACUGAGUAAGGCAUUGAUCUAUGCGAGUAGCAGAAUAGCAUGAUGGGAUCCUAUUCAGCCAUGAAGUAAAACAAAACUCUACUAUCUGUAGGAAAAUGGAUGCCAGUGGGAGGUCAUCAUGUUAACCAAAUAGAAAGACAAAUGCCACUCAGUUUUCACUCCUAGAUUUUAUAUAGAUCCAUAGAAUCAUUUCAACAUAAGACGUGAAGGAAGAAGUGAGACCAUCUGUCGGAAUGGAUGAAAAUAAUGGCAUCCGGGAGACCGAGUGGGGAGAAAGUCGAGGUUGAGUGUGAAUACCGUAAAAGGACAUGGUAUGCAAAUGAUCGCUACGUGUAAUUAGUGUAUUCCAAUUUUAAAAGAAAAGAAUUAAAUGUCUCUUUGAGUCAUUUAAAAUUUUUAAUGAUGCGUACGUUCGUGUUUGCAUGCCCAUGAGCACAGGUGCACACUGAGGCCAGAAGAGGGUGUUGGAUCUCCUGGAGUUACAGAAAUAUGUUUUGACCACGGUUUUCCUGCCCAUGGAUAUGGUCACCGUGUCUGGUGGUUUUUGCAAGGCUCAAGUGGAUUAACUGCUUCCCAGCCUUAGAGACUUGGAUGAACUCUCAAGCAGAAUCUCAUGGCAGAUGUCUGGGAACCUCGCUCAUUAGAAUACUCCCUGUUCCAGAGCUGAGGCACGUUUAGAGAUAACAGUGCCUGGAAUUGUUGCAGGAGACAUAUGACUAGUGUGGGAACAAAGCUGACUGAGGGGAAAUGGAGACAGCUAUGAAGCUAAGAAAAUGGCAGGGCUUCAGGAGAUUUAUAACCAGAAUCUGUUCCAUUCUGGAUACCAUGUGAGCUGAUAACAACCUUUUAAAGCUCAUUUAUGUUGAGGGUUUUAUGUUUCCCAUUACCCAGAACAUAUUUUUGUAAGACUUGUUUUUUUAUUUUUAAUUAUGUGUAUGUUUGGGGGGGCACGAGUGUAUGCUAUGUGUGUAGGUCCCUGCCAGGGCCAGAGGAGGGGGUUGUAUCCUUGGAUUUGGCUUUCCAGAAGGCUGUAAGUCACCCAAUGUGGUUGUUGGGAACUGAAUCAGGACUCUUAUCCAAAUGGACUCUUAUCCAAUGAGCUAUAUCAUCAGUCUAAGAUUGAA